GAUGGGAGCUUGCUCCCUGAUGUUAGCGGCGGACGGGUGAGUAACACGUGGGUAACCUGCCUGUAAGACUGGGAUAACUCCGGGAAACCGGGGCUAAUACCGGAUGCUUGUUUGAACCGCAUGGUUCAAACAUAAAAGGUGGCUUCGGCUACCACUUACAGAUGGACCCGCGGCGCAUUAGCUAGUUGGUGAGGUAAUGGCUCACCAAGGCGACGAUGCGUAGCCGACCUGAGAGGGUGAUCGGCCACACUGGGACUGAGACACGGCCCAGACUCCAACGGGAGGCAGCAGUAGGGAAUCUUCCGCAAUGGACGAAAGUCUGACGGAGCAACGCCGCGUGAGUGAUGAAGGUUUUCGGAUCGUAAAGCUCUGUUGUUAGGGAAGAACAAGUACCGUUCGAAUAGGGCGGUACCUUGACGGUACCUAACCAGAAAGCCACGGCUAACUACGUGCCAGCAGCCGCGGUAAUACGUAGGUGGCAAGCGUUGUCCGGAAUUAUUGGGCGUAAAGGGCUCGCAGGCGGUUUCUUAAGUCUGAUGU
rnacentral:rRNA from 1 species